CCUGUAGCUCAACGGAUAGAGCAGCGGACUUCGGAUCCGAAGGUUGUGGGUUCAAGUCCUACCAGG
rnacentral:tRNA from 1 species